CUUAAUCAGCACUGUGUGUUUCUAAAGGCUCAGACAAACUGUUUCCCUCACCAUUAAGGUUGCCUCAUACUGCACUUGGGAUUUAAGGGAAGGGACCAUGCUGAUUGGCCAAUGGAGCAUGAAGAAAGAACAAAUGAAAAACGACCCAACAGCCAAAUCCCAAUGGGGGCUUGGAACCCUCGAAAGAAGCAUAACGGUGUGGUUUCCUUCCCCAUCUGUGUGAAGUUUCCAUCAUCAUUAUUGAGACAUAAGCAACAGAUAAUAUGUCACUGGUGGUGAUCUGGACUUCUGAUUCAAGUAUACAGACUUUGCUGAGAAAUUGAAAGAAACAGGAGCUCACAUUGGACUGAGGACCAUUUUCUCUCUUUUUCCUUU
rnacentral:lncRNA from 1 species